UGUUGAUGGUGCAGUUCAACUGGUGGUUGAUCGCCCAUAUAAGGCUGGAGAAUCUAUUGCUGUUUGGUGUGGGCCACAGCCUAACUCAAAAUUGCUUAUAAACUAUGGAUUUGUCGAUGAAGAUAAUCCUUAUGACCGGUUGGUGAUUGAGGCGGCUUUGAAUACGGAGGAUCCCCAGUAUCAAGAUAAAAGAAUGGUUGCUCAGAGGAAUGGAAAAUUAUCUGUGCAAGUUUUUCAUGUGUAUGCUGGUAAGGAAAGGGAAGCUAUACUGGAUUUGCUUCCAUAUAUUCGAUUGGGCUAUUUAUGAGAACCUUCAGAGAUGCAAUCUGUUAUCUCUUCUCAGGGUCCAGUUUGUCCAGGUGUAAUCCACAGGGAUGUCAAACCUGGAAACUUCCUCUUCUCUCGUAAGGCCAGUAAAGGUUACCUGAUUGAUUUCAACCUGGCAAUGGACUUACAUCAGAAAUAUGGAAACACUGGCUAUACUAAAGAUAAUCAAGCAUUGCAAGGAGUUUAACUCAUUCAUAUCAUUUUUGAGAUGUUCAUGGUCAGUUUUCAGAUUUGUUAAGAUUGUUUGAGUAUGGUGGAUUUCCACCUGAAGCAAACUAUCUGUUACUAGGAGACUAUGUGGACCGUGGUAAGCAGAGUAUAGAGACUAUAUGCCUUCUUCUCGCGUACAAGAUCAAGUACAAGGAGAAUUUCUUUCUUGAUGCAAACCGAACAAUGACUUCAAAGUACAAUCAGUUCACCAUUCAAGUAGUUGAACCAAUGGAAGAUUAGGAAGAAGUUACCUUUUUUUUUUUUUUUACAGUAAUUUUAUUUUAUUUAGUGUUGAGACUUUUCUUGCUGCUGAGCUUGUUUUUCUUUCUCUUGACUUGUUAUUUAUGGAUUUACAUGGAGUAGUGUAUGCAAGUAUUUCAUAUACCCAAUUUUCUAAAAGUAAAUAAUAAGUAUUAUUUUAUUAUGAUUUA